rnacentral:rRNA from 1 species
CCUACGGGAGGCAGCAGUGGGGAAUAUUGCGCAAUGGGCGAAAGCCUGACGCAGCAACGCCGCGUGAGGGAUGACGGCCUUCGGGUUGUAAACCUCUUUCAGCAGGGAAGAAGCGAAAGUGACGGUACCUGCAGAAGAAGCACCGGCUAACUACGUGCCAGCAGCCGCGGUAAUACGUAGGGUGCAAGCGUUGUCCGGAUUUAUUGGGCGUAAAGAGCUCGUAGGCGGUUAGUCACGUCGGAUGUGAAAUCUUGGAGCUUAACUCCGAGCCUGCAUUCGAUACGGGCUGACUAGAGUGUUGUAGGGGAGACUGGAACUCCUGGUGUAGCGGUGAAAUGCGCAGAUAUCAGGAAGAACACCGGUGGCGAAGGCGGGUCUCUGGGCAACUACUGACGCUGAGGAGCGAAAGCGUGGGGAGCAAACAGGAUUAGAUACCCUGGUAGUCCACGCCGUAAACGGUGGGCGCUAGGUGUGGGGAACAUUCCACGUUCUCCGUGCCGCAGCUAACGCAUUAAGCGCCCCGCCUGGGGAGGACGGCCGCGAGACGAACUACAAGAAGUAGACGGCGUGAGACGUGCCGACGGACGACGACGAGGGAGGAGG